rnacentral:rRNA from 1 species
CCUACGGGUGGCAGCAGUAGGGAAUAUUGCUCAAUGGGGGAAACCCUGAAGCAGCAACGCCGCGUGGAGGAUGAAGGUUUUCGGAUUGUAAACUCCUUUUGUUAGAGAAGAUAAUGAUGGUAUCUAACGAAUAAGCACCGGCUAACUCCGUGCCAGCAGCCGCGGUAAUACGGAGGGUGCAAGCGUUACUCGGAAUCACUGGCGUAAAGAGCGCGUAGGCGGGAUAGCAAGUCAGAUGUGAAAUCCUAGGGCUUAACCAUAGAAAUGCAUUUGAAACUGUUAUUCUAGAGUAUGGGAGAGGUAGGUGGAAUUCUUGGUGUAGGGGUAAAAUCCGUAGAGAUCAAGAGGAAUACUCAUUGCGAAGGCGACCUGCUAGAACAUAACUGACGCUGAUGCGCGAAAGCGUGGGGAGCAAACAGGAUUAGAUUACCCUUGUAGUC